ensembl:lncRNA
GGAGCUCCAGGGCAGGGCCGAAUUGAGUAGUUCGACUUUUGAGGUUGCACUGAGGAAGCUCUGCUCCGCUUGACCCUCCUAGCGCAAGGGUCCCCCCUGCAGGGGCCCAGAUGAAGGCCGGGAAGGGACAGCCUGCAUCUGCCCAGGGACCCUGUGGCCCCAGAUGAAUGCUGCUGUAGCUCUGUUGCUGCCCUGGGAGCUCAGGGCGUCCACCAUGAGUCUGGCUGAGUUCUCGGAGCUGAGGACCGCAUGAUAAACAAGCCAGUUCCUUGUCCAGCUGGAGAGACACUCAGCAGCGAAGCUUCAAAGUUUCAGAAAAGAAGGGAUGUGGUUAGUGGGAGCUGAUGAUUUUUUAAUCUUAGCAAGCUCUGGAAAGCCUGGCUCUGCAAUAGCAUUGACCUUGAGAUGAUUUCCCGUGGCCAGAAAGAAGCCCAUCAUUUAUUUAUUAACCCUCCAGAAGGUCUGCACACAAUCCCCUGUGGCCAGACAGAAAGAAUAUUAUGGGUCAAAUGCCAUUACAGAAAGCCCCAGAGAGAAAAGACCAAACUAUUUGGCCAUGUGGGCAUUUGGGCUGGAGAGCAGCAGUUUGUACACGGCUGUGCUGCGACAUGUUACUCCGCACACACUGCCACAUGGCCACUCAACGGCCUUCCAAAAUCAGCAGCAGAAUUGAGACUUUGAAAACAGUUUUCCAGGAAUUCAAGUGCCAAAGCGCCCCAGCUGUGUGUAAUGGGAGGUGAAAAGAGGUGACCCCAUUAGCAAGUACUUUCUACAAAGGCUUUUCAAGCCCACGUGAUCACC